AAGAAUUCGCUCAUAGACCGUGAGAUGCAAAUUUUUGUCUUUCCGAAGCGCGCGAUA
rnacentral:tRNA from 1 species